rnacentral:misc_RNA from 1 species
UGACGUCAUCACACAAACCUCUGUGCAGCGGGCAUCCGUUCUCCGAGAAUCUUCCCCCAGCGCGAUCCUCCGCAUCACCGACCACAAACAACUCUUGACGACUUCGACCGCCUGCUAUCCUCUGGACAUGGGACUGUGCCGCGAAAGAUCGUGACCCCGCAGAAGACCGCGAUGAGCAAGAUCCGCAGGAAACGGACGAGGCAGUGGACCGCCCUCGAGGACGGGAUGGUGGCAGUGGAACCCCGCCCCACCCCCCCGCGACCCUGAGGAUACUUCGAUGGUGUCCCCCACCAGCAUGUUGUUGUUCCUUGGAGGCGCUCACACCUUGGAAAAGGGCGAGGAAUACUAAUAAAACACACUCUUUGUUCGGCUCAUUCUUCGAAUCACAGCGUAACAAUCGAAAGAUGACUAUCACAAAUCGUCAGCGUAAAACAAGUGUCUGCGGAAAAUAAAGAAAAAGGAAUUUCAAUGGGAUAACAGCAAUGGUCACAGAGGAUAUCAUACUAUUUUGAGUUAGUUUUAUCACAACAGUAUGUAAUUUAAUGGUAUGUAAUCCAUAAUAUAUAAACACUGCAUAAUAAAGAAAAGUAGUAAUACCAACCGGUAUUUUCUACGCAAGUUUGA